rnacentral:rRNA from 1 species
GACGAACCGUGCGAACGUUAUUCGGAAUCACUGGGCUUAAAGGGCGCGUAGGCGGGCGGCCAAGUCAGAGGUGAAAGCCCCCAGCUCAACUGGGGAAGUGCCUUUGAUACUGGUCGUCUCGAGGGAGAUAGGGGCGUGCGGAACUUCCGGUGGGGCGGUGAAAUGCGUAGAUAUCGGAAGGAACACCGGUGGCGAAAGCGGCGCGCUGGAUCUCUUCUGACGCUGAGGCGCGAAAGCCAGGGGAGCGAACGGG